GCCCGUCUAGCACGCAAGGCUCUUAACCUUGUGAUCGUGUGUUCGAGCCUCACGGUGGGUG
rfam:Picea glauca, whole genome shotgun sequence.